rnacentral:rRNA from 1 species
GAUGAACGCUAGCUACAGGCUUAACACAUGCAAGUCGAGGGACCGGCGCACGGGUGAGUAACACGUAUCCAACCUGCCCUUUACUCGGGGAUAGCCUUUCGAAAGAAAGAUUAAUACCCGAUAUAAAGGAUGGGGAUGCGUUCCAUUAUGUUGUUGGUGAGGUAACGGCACACCAAGCCUUCGAUGUUUAGGGGUUCGGAGAGGAAUGUCCCCCCCCUUGGAACUGGGACACUGUCCAAACUCCUACGGGAGGCAGCAGUGAGGAAGAUUUGUCAGUGGUCGUUAGCCUGAACCAACCAAGUAGCGUGUAGGAUGAAGGCUUAUUGGUCGUAAACUUCUUUUAUAUAAGAAUAUGUAUUAUAUGAAUAAGGAUCGGCUAACUCCGUGCCAGCAGCCGCGGUAAUAC